rnacentral:lncRNA from 1 species
AAAAUGGGGUUAUAAUAGUCUUCAUAGGGUGGUUGUGCUGUUCAUUUAAGCCUGCACGUGGAAAGAACAGUGCCAGGGCACAGUGAGACCCAGUAAGUGGUAACUAUUAAUUCUAUAAUUGGGGUUAGGAUUGGGGCUCGGCAGGAGUCUGCCCCGAAGGCAGCAGCUCCCUGCCCUCAGCCUGCUCUUUGGGACUCCUGGCUGAGGCUGGAGAGAAGCCUGACUCAUUCUCUACAGACACAGACAAUCAAGAGUCGGGAGUUAUGUCAUCCUUUGAACAUGGGCCUGGAGGCUCUGCCGCAGGCUCAUCUGAAAAAUAAAUAAUAACAACUUGAAUAAUUCACAGAAUCUGUGUGAAUAAUUCACCACGGCCUCCCAAGCACCAGCCGAUUAGUCACCACAGACACAGGCUCUGGUCCGUCUGCCUCUGGUUGCCCCACCACCCCUUGGGGGUGUGGCCUAGCCACAGGUGCAGGAGAUGGCAGGCAUGAAGGAACAGUUGGAGGGGCCCUCCCAAGGCUGCAGGGGUCUGGGGGCAGCUGGGGAGGUAGGGGCCAUGGUCUCUCCAUGGAAGCCAAAGGGACUCUCCCAAAGUCCCUGAGCUAGGGAGAUCAUGCAGCCGGCCAUCAAUGCUUCCCCACUUUGCACUGCGUUUUGGAGAUGUGGAGGAAGCCCACGUUGGCAGUGACAAUCAGAAUGUCAAAAUGUCUCAGAGGAUUCCUAGGAAAUCUGAGGCACUUCACGAUGAGCCUGCCCGGGCCAGAGACCAGCCGGAGUGAAUCCUUAAUGCACUUCACAGGAAGGGGGACUCUUCCGAAAUGCUAAUACAAUCAACCUGAAAGGCAAACUUCCAGCUUCCUGCUCAGUGAUCAGACCUGCGCUCCCAGAGCUGAGGUGCUCUCCACAGAGAAGGCCAGAAGCCCUGCCUCCUCACCUAGUGCGCUGGGAACAGCGGUCCAUCCUAAGUCCCCGAGCACAUUGCAGGUGCUGGGUAAAGCUUGCAGGCACUUCCUGUUGCAGCCAGCCAGGGCAGCAACGCAGACUCACUCUGGACACAGAGUGUCCUAGGUCCUAGGUCUGCUACAUGGACACAGGAGGAGGAAGCUUAACCAAGAAACAACCAUGGAAUAAAAAAGGAGAUAUCUGGAUAAAGGAGGAACUG